ACAGUGUCUGGUGGGUAGUUUGACUGGGGCGGUCUCCUCCUAAAGAGUAACGGAGGAGCACGAAGGUUGGCUAAUCCUGGUCGGACAUCAGGAGGUUAGUGCAAUGGCAUAAGCCAGCUUGACUGCGAGCGUGACGGCGCGAGCAGGUGCGAAAGCAGGUCAUAGUGAUCCGGUGGUUCUGAAUGGAAGGGCCAUCGCUCAACGGAUAAAAGGUACUCCGGGGAUAACAGGCUGAUACCGCCCAAGAGUUCAUAUCGACGGCGGUGUUUGGCACCUCGAUGUCGGCUCAUCACAUCCUGGGGCUGAAGUAGGUCCCAAGGGUAUGGCUGUUCGCCAUUUAAAGUGGUACGCGAGCUGGGUUUAGAACGUCGUGAGACAGUUCGGUCCCUAUCUGCCGUGGGCGCUGGAGAACUGAGGGGGGCUGCUCCUAGUACGAGAGGACCGGAGUGGACGCAUCACUGGUGUUCGGGUUGUCAUGCCAAUGGCACUGCCCGGUAGCUAAAUGCGGAAGAGAUAAGUGCUGAAAGCAUCUAAGCACGAAACUUGCCCCGAGAUGAGUUCUCCCUGACUCCUUGAGAGUCCUGAAGGAACGUUGAAGACGACGACGUUGAUAGGCCGGGUGUGUAAGCGCAGCGAUGCGUUGAGCUAACCGGUACUAAUGAACCGUGAGGCUUAACCUUACAACGCCGAAGGUGUUU
rnacentral:rRNA from 1 species